rnacentral:rRNA from 1 species
AUUGAACGCUGGCGGCAUGCUUUACACAUGCAAGUCGAACGGUAACAGGCCGCAAGGUGCUGACGAGUGGCGAACGGGUGAGUAAUGCAUCGGAACGUGCCCAGUCGUGGGGGAUAACGCAGCGAAAGCUGUGCUAAUACCGCAUACGAUCUAUGGAUGAAAGCGGGGGACCGUAAGGCCUCGCGCGAUAGGAGCGGCCGAUGUCAGAUUAGCUAGUUGGUGGGGUAAAGGCCCACCAAGGCGACGAUCUGUAGCUGGUCUGAGAGGACGACCAGCCACACUGGGACUGAGACACGGCCCAGACUCCUACGGGAGGCAGCAGUGGGGAAUUUUGGACAAUGGGCGCAAGCCUGAUCCAGCAAUGCCGCGUGCAGGAAGAAGGCCUUCGGGUUGUAAACUGCUUUUGUACGGAACGAAACGGUCUGGGUUAAUACCCUGGGCUAAUGACGGUACCGUAAGAAUAAGCACCGGCUAACUACGUGCCAGCAGCCGCGGUAA